UGGAUGACGCAACUUUCUUAUAAAAAAAUGUAUGUUUUAAUUUUUAUUCGUUCAAUCAAUUUAUAAUUUAUGGUCAUUUAUAUGCUUAAUUUGUUAACCGAAGAAGACGAAUUAAGUCGUUAUUCUAGUUGUUAAUAAAUAAUCUCCUUUGUUCAGAUAAAUUUACAAAGGAAGCGAUAUUAUAUGAAAUCUGCUCUUAACCAGGUUUUCGACGCAAAUACGCUAUUGCGGCAUGUCUUCUCGCGUAUCAUUAUUUUGACAACGAUAUAUUUCCAAGCGUAUCGAACUCGAACGAUGCUUCCAAGAUCGUGUUUCGCUGUUGUUUCCUUUUUCGUUGCGUCUCUUUCGUUCGCGCGGCUUUUCGAGCAGUGCGGUCGCGCGGUUGCACGGAGGUCCUUCGAACUUUUGCCUUGAGAGUUUGAAAGGUUUGACAUCGGAUGAGGCGCUGAGACCUUGACGCGUUAACAUUUUGAGUAAUUGCCAGUAGCGAUUUAAAGACUUUAAUUUAAAAUCCACGUUUAGAAACUGAUAUUAAUUGAUAUCAUUGGGUCCUUUGGAAUCGUAACAAUUUAAUAUUAGAUCAAUUUUAGAAUUUCUAACUUUACGCAAUUAUAUGAUUAAUAUCUAUCACGGAGAAUGCAAGGUAUAAAAUUAAAUUAAUUACCCAAACUUUAGUAAUCUAAUAUAGUAAGUUGAAUUAUGAUAAAUUGAAAUAAGUUAAAUGAAAAUAUAGGUUAUACGAAUGUACUUUGAAACAAUUACCACGUGACUGGUCGAGAAGCGCGCAAUUAUUCAAAUGUCCAAACUAUCUGUCAAAACUAAAACGUAUCUUUCCAACUCCACUCUCUUCUCGAAACCACUCCCUUUAUUCACGUGUUUUCGUGCAGCUAGUAUCAAGUUUCAAAACAACAAUUUGCCAACCGUCAUGUGUCGUUAUUAAUUUUUCCUUUUUACUCUCGGCGCUUAAAAUAGAGAUGUCGCCAUUGUCGUCGCAUCUAGUACUUAUCUGCACUUGUACUAUGCAUACAACAUAUUCUUAUAAUUUUAUAUUAACCUGUUAAUCUGAAAUGACACGUUUCUAUAUGAGGCAUAAUUGAGAAAAUUAAUCGCAUCUUUGAAUACGGAUGGGAUUCGUACAAGGCGAUCAGAAACGAAAGAAUGAAAAAAGUGACAUUUGCAGUUUGGUUGCGCGCAGGAAGCGAGAGAAAAACGAACAACGAGGUAAUUGGAACUUUUUUCUGGCCUGGAUUCCAUCCGAAAGUAUUCUUCGGGACAAGUUGGCCGUAGUUUUCCGUGUGUACAGUCGGAAACGUCUGUUCGUCUGACUUGCUACGCUGCAUACUACUACGCGAGUCUAUUUCCGUUUCGUCUGUUCGAUCGUUAUUGCUUCCAUACUUCCAUAUUACAAUUAUUACUUCCAUUAUUGAAACUGUUCAUUUGAGAUUCCUUUGAGACAUUUACAGAAGUAGUAUUUUCGUAGACUGAAUCUAAUUGUGGCUAUUGAGUAUUAUCGAAAUGUUCGUGGAAGAUAUUUCUGAGAAAGAUAAGUAAAUUAAAAUUGUAAUGGAACUGGCUGCAAGCUGACCUAGAACGCCACCGGAAGUGGAAGAAAAUAUAACUGUGCAGGAAAUAGCGCACUAAAAUGUCGAUUUUAUAGAGUGCAUCGUAAAUUACGUUACCAUCAAAAUAACCGACUCUUAUCUACUAUGUGUUUACUAAAUCUUUGAUCCAAGAACUAAAAAUCAUUAUUUACUGCCGACCAAUAUUACUUAAGAUUCUAGUAAUUCUAGUAAUUCAUAAUUCUUGACCUAUAUUUUUCUUUCCUACUCUUUGUAAAUUAUAAACGAAUUUUUAACAUUUAACCUCUAAUUAAUCGAUCAAGUAACUUUUUCUACUCUAUCUCUAUAUAUUGUGUUUAGUAGUAAUUUGUUUUCUAGGUAAAUCGUGUAUAGAAUAAAAUUAAGUUGAAUUCAGAGAUUUCAUCAAACUUUUAAGAUACGGCAGAAGAUAAAAUAAUAAAAAUGGAACUGUGCAGAAGUAAAGAUGCAAGGAAAAUCAGGACAAGAAAAUCACUGUCAGGAUGAAAACCUGCGAGAAUAAGAAUUCCCAGCAACGAACAUCGGGAUGACGUUAAAUCUCCAAUCAACACGAUCGAGGGAAAGGGCUUUCAACAGGCUUGUAGCGAUUAUGUUAUUCAAAGAUAAUAUCGGUCGAUCGAAAAAGUGGAAAGUAAAGCGGUUCAGGGAAGUUUCUUAAUCGGACAAUUGCAUUAGCUAAAUUAAAGCUUUAUGCCGUGUAUGCUUCUCAUCGGUCACGCGAAGUUAGGUUCGCGAGUUGCGUGUGAUCGCGGAAUAACUUAGACGGCUACACGGCAAACAAAUAAGGCUACAAUAAUUUCAAUCUAUUAUGGAAUCUCAGCGAAAAUGAAUUAUAACGUUAUUAAAUCAUCGUGAUGCUUAAUGUUCUUAUACUAUAUCUACUAUACUAUAUCUUUUACUAUAUAUACUAUACUAUAUUUUAUCACAGGAGAAUGAUUCUUUGAUACUCGUUUUGUUAAAAACUCUUUUACUAUUCUAAUAAUUUUACGAUCUAAAUUUAGUCAAAUCGUAAAUAUUAAGCUAUGUAGAGAGUUUGUUUACGUUUUCUUGAAAGCACGAAUGUUACCACUUGACUGCAGUUUUUCAUGCGUUCAUGGACAAUUUGGAGAUACACAAAUGCACAGAAUGCACAUAACGUAAUGCAGACACGUAGAAAAGUGUUAGUACGUAUAGCGUUCUUCAUAUAUACAUAUUUAAUGGAUAAAACAAUUUUUUAUCCAUAUUAUAGUUUUUCAAUAAUAUCCGUAAAGAUGUAAAUAUAGAAUUUGCACAAAUA